GUCAGAUGUUUCAUCAUUUGAAAUCCAACAUAGUGGAUUUGUGAAGCAGCUGUUGCUUUAUUUGACAUCUAAAAGUGAAAAGGAUGCUGUGAGCAGAGAGAUCAGAUUAAAGAGAUUUCUUCAUGUAUUUUUUUCUUCUCCACUUCCUGGAGAAGAGCCCAUUGGAAGAGUGGAACCAGUGGGUAAUGCACCUUUGUUGGCAUUAGUUCACAAGAUGAACAACUGCCUCAGCCAGAUGGAACAAUUUCCAGUCAAAGUACAUGAUUUCCCUAGUGGAAAUGGGACAGGAGGCAGGUAAGGACCAUUGCCUGGCUAUACCCUUGCCACUGGAAUUUGGUACUUAAUUUCACUGAGGUAAGAUGGCAAGAUGUCUGGUAAAGUCUUUAAGGCCCAGAAAACAUUCAGCUGUAAUGAUGAAAGAAAUUAAGCACUCUAAAGAAUGAAUCAAAUGCUUUCUUAUCUUUAAAAUUAUACCAUGUGCCUUAAACAGGAUGCUUUAUAAAUAAUAUAAUCCAGUGAUUAUAUUUGUAACUUGUAAUAGGCUUAGUUUUCCUUAAAUUGAUACACUUCAGCAUACAAAACUUCCUUAAGAACUUUGUGUUUAACUUCAGU
rnacentral:sRNA from 1 species